UUAGAAUCAUAAAUGAUCUAUUGUCGACAUGUUGCAAUCAGUACAUCGAUAGUUGUUGAAAGCUAGCAAUCAUGUUGCAAUAAUUUUACAGGUCUCAAUAUACUAUAAAAUCAGCAGUGUAUUUUUAGACUGGUUCAUAUUCGGUAAAACCUUUUAACUUACCGGAGACGUAUGUACUUAUAAUGGUCUGGCUCUCUGACAAUUAUUUGGACUUAUAUCAUUCAGUGCCUUUGUUUUCCCCACUCAACAUUCAAUGUGCAAAACUCCA
rnacentral:lncRNA from 1 species